rnacentral:lncRNA from 1 species
AGGAUUGGUUGUCCACUCAUAACCAUAAGAUAAUUAAAACGGGGGGGGGCAGGGUAAAAAAAAAACCCUUUUAUCAGCCAUAGGUUAAUGCAAGUGUUUAACAGAUGCUUCGCUAUUAAAAUAUUUCCCCCCAAUACUGAAGAAUCUUAAACCAGCAACCCUAACAGAGAUUGCGAAGAUUUUCAAAGUGGGGCACCUCGAUUUCUCGAAUCUGUGGUGUGGCGAAUAUCCGUGUUCCUCCUGCUUAACUAGCCUGUUUGCAUCUUUUGACACAUUUUACUUCCGUAAUUUCGGACUGCCAGAAGGCACAGUUCAUUCUCGAGCAAUUCGUCACCUCCUGGGGGUCUUCUCUUCCCGUCUACAGGAGAGUGUGACUUCAGAAAGAACUUCGGAUUGGCCAAGGCCAUUAAAGCUGGUGAGCGACUUGGAAGUCAUUUAGAAAGGAACAGACCUUCAACCUCAAGCCUUUGCGGGCACUGGGAAAGUGUCUUCCCAAUCAAUCUGGCUUGCAGGCGGCAGGACCAACUCUGACCUGGCUUAUCUUGUACCCAUCCUAAAUACACCAAACUCAAGAGGUAGCCAGGGCCGCCUCAACACCGAGGUCUGAUUCUAUUUAUUCUAAAGACAGAGUUGGAGAUGGGCUACCAUUGGUGUUGAUUGAGAUGACAAGCAGUCACCUGAGCCCAUACAGCUGGUAAGUAGAACAGUACUGGAGAGAUGGCUCAGCAGUUAAGAGCACUGACUGCUCUUCCAGAGAUCCUGAGUUCAAUUCCCAGCAACCACAUGGUGGCUCACAAACAUCUGUAAUGAGAUCAGGUGCCCUCUUCUGGUGCCUUUGAAGACAAAGACAGUGUAGUGUCAUAUAUAUAAAAUAAAUAAAUCUUUAGAAAUUUGAAAA